CCCGCUGAGUUUAAGCAUAUCAAUAAGCGGAGGAAAAGAAACUUACCAGGAUUCCCUUAGUAACGGCGAGCGAACUGGGAAGAGCCAGCUUGAGAAUCGGGCACCCUCAGUGUUCGAAUUGUAGUCUGGAAAAGGGUCCUCAGCGGCGGACCGGGCCCAAGUCCCCUGGAAGGGGGCACCGGAGAGGGUGAGAGCCCCGUCAUGCCAUCGGCAUCAAUGCCUUGGUUCAGAGGAAAGCUCUGUCCUUGGUAGUCAUGCCACCAGCCCAGA
rnacentral:ncRNA from 1 species